AGGCUUUAAAGAAGUGCUUCAAUCUUCCAUUGUAAAUUACCAAGAUUCCGUAUCAUCCAACCGUUCUAUUGAUGAAAGUACCACGUUUGUCGUCGGCUACACUGUUUAUAUGAACCGUCCUUCUGAUUGGCCAAAUUUUAACCAAUCUUUGUUCAUCUCUGAUCUGAACAAUGUCCUCAAGCAAAACAGUUCAAUCCGUGCAUUCUUCACCAAUUUUACUUCAUCGAUAACUGUUAUCUCGGCAACUGCAGAUAUUGAUGAAUGUGCGUCUGGGUUAUAUACGU